GAUUAUUCUACCAAGAACAAGCAACUCAAAGUGAAGAGCCUUUCUGUGUUUUUCUGUUACAGCUCUCCUCUUUCUCCCACCUACUUGUGCACAUGUGCCUGGACAGAGAUGCAUACAGUGUACACAUAUAUAUGUGUAUACACAUUUGCAUGAGCUUACAUCUCUACUUAUACAAUAUUUAUAUAGGAUCCUGAUUGUGGAAACCCCAGAUGUAUGAAUGAGGACAGUCACCUUGAGAAGUAUCCCUGAAGUCUGGCAAGGAGAAGCUGCACAAUCUGUGCUGUACCACAGCGGCUGAAGGUUUUGGCUGCCAUCCUCUGCAGGGAAACGAAGGCACAGAGAUGCUGAAGGACACAUCCCAGUUUUAUAAUUUCCUACGUGCUGGAAGUAGGACAGAUGAAUGCUAUGAAAUGCUUAGCAUCACUUUCCCUGGAAGAGAAAGUGAAAUUCAGGAAGGUGGAUCAGGAAAACAGCAUUCUCCUGCCACAGGGAAACAUGGAAAAGUGCAGAAAGGGACAAGCAGGAGAUUUCCUUGGCCUUUUGGAACAUUCCCAGCUACUGAGGGCACUGUCAUACUAUGUGGCAUAUCUGGCACAAACAAAUAUUCUCAGUUUAUUCAGCAAAGAAGACAAUCACCUAUGGCAUCCUUCUGCUGCUCUGGAUGUACAGCUACCCAUGCUUCAGAAGAGAAAACUCCAGUAUUGCUACUCUCAUACAGGUUCAACAGAGGAAGAACAAACCCAUUGCAACAGCAAAAAGAAUCUCUUCAGCAGCUGAGAUCUCUUCACUUGUGGGUAGAAAGCACAGAGAAAUAAAUAUCGCAAGAAUGGCGCUAAGGAUAAGAUAGACCUAUUUAUAUUUAAUAGGACUUUGCAGACUUCUGUGGCCUGAUUGCAGUGACAUGGUGUGCAAAUGAUAUAAUUUCUUUGGAUUAAAAGGAGUUUCUCUUUUAUUUGGAGUUAGCCAGAAAAAGCUCUGAAAUCACCAGAUUGUACUGCUAUUUAUCGGGAAAAUUCUUAUUGGAAACAUCUGAGUUUAUCCCUUCAGGCAUAGUUAGGCCAUAUGUAGUCAUAGCAUUUCAAAUUUUGCUUGGAGCAUAAAUAUGAGGCUAGACAAUUGAAAAAGAGUCUUUAUACAUCCUUACAAUUUAUGUUUUAGCAUAUAAUGAGCAAGUGUUCCCAUGUAUGAAGAUUAGGUACUUAUUUCCUCUGAAAGCCAAUGGUCAUGGAUUUUCUCAUCAUAAACGGUGUACUUUCAUUUCCUCUCUUGCUCUUUGUAUGCACCUCUCCAUUGUUAAACAAUUAAGUAGCAGAAGCUGUUAAUAUUAUGUUAAAAAAUUCAUCCUAUUUCACGGGUUUUUUCCAGUCUUGUUACACUAUUUUCAUGUGAAAACAUGGGUGAAAACACUUAGCAAAACAAAAGAUGCAAAAUAUCAGAAGUAGGACAUUUGUAGAUAAGCUUCAAAACCUAUUGCCAUAGGAAUUAAAGAAUGAAAACCAUCAACACGUUGUAUCUUCUAAGAGUUUUUUCUUGUAUAUAUAUGAACAUUUGUUCUGCUUUAAAAGAUGUAUGUGUAUGAAGCGUUUCUCAAUAAAAAGCAUCAAAAUCAUGCA
rnacentral:lncRNA from 1 species